GACAGAGGUGCCGAGCGUUAGGCGGAAUCACUGGGCUUAAAGCGUGUGUAGGCGGUCUCGUAAGUGCUUUGUGAAAUCCCACGGCUCACCCGUGGAACUGCUUGGCAUACUGUGAGCCUUGAGCCACUUAGGGGCAACCGGAACAAACGGUGGAGCGGUGAAAUGCGUAGAUAUCGGUUGGAACGCCAAUGGUGAAAACAGGUUGCUGGGAGUGCGCUGACGCUGAGACACGAAAGCCAGGGGAGCGAACGGG
rnacentral:rRNA from 1 species